rnacentral:misc_RNA from 1 species
GAUGAAGAACGUAGCGAAAUGCGAUAAGUAAUGUGAAUUGCAGAAUUCAGUGAAUCAUCGAAUCUUUGAACGCACCUUGCGCCCUUUGGCUAUUCCGAAGGGCAUGCCUGUUUGAGUAUCAUGAACACCUCAACUCUCAUGGCUUGCCAUGAUGAGCUUGGACUUUUGGGGGUCUUGCUGGCCUGUGGUCAGCUCCUCUCAAAUGAAUUAGCCUGCCAGUGUUUGGUGGCAUCACAGGUGUGAUAACUAUCGACGCUUGUGGUUUUCCACCAGGUAACCUUCAGUGAUGAAGGUUCGCUGGGGCUCAUAAACGUCUCUCCUCAGUGAGGACAGCUCUUUGAACGUUUGAUCUCAAAUCAGGUAGGACUACCCGCUGAACUUAAGCAUAUCAUAAGCGGAGGA